rnacentral:lncRNA from 1 species
GGCGGAGCAACUGUGGAAGAGGGAAGCUAGUACCGCUUUUGAGCGAGGGAUGCGAUGCAGCGUGGUGCUGCUCGGAGGUGUGCUGCUCAGAGGCCGCCUGAUUGCCUACCUUCCCUGGUAUUCCUUCCGACUGCGGCAAGGGCACUGAGUGGUGGCAACGCCGGCAAGGCUCAGGUAUGGUGUCUAGAGGCAGCGCAGAAGGUGAGCGACACCCUGGCUGGCGGGUCGCGGACUAGAGCUGAACCUGGAGGCUUCGGUCCGACUCGCUGCUCUUGCAACUCAGGCUGCUGAAUUAUGGAACCCUUGACCUCCGGUUCCCCCUCCACUGCGGCGUGUCCGCCUUGGCUCUGCCACCUGCACUCCGUCCUUUGCCGAUCUGUGCGACCACAGCCUUCCCUCUGCCUCCCUCCUUCGCAGGAUUAGCGCCCUCACUGAAAUCACAUAAUUAAGAAGAUUGAGACAGAAAAUGAAGGGAAAGCAAAUGGGCUGAGAAGUUGGAAUAAAGACAGUGCAAAUGGUGAUUAUAGUUUCGAGGACCUGGACAUACAUUUCCAGGAAGAAACCAUGGAUUAAUGAAUUCCAGAGGCAUCUUUGUCAUUUUUCAUGGACAUACAGCUCUAAUGGUGCCUUAAAGACACAGAACUGCUUUAUGCCUGUGGCCAAGAGUGUUGCUAACAGUCUUUAUUUAGAUUCUGCCCAGAAGGAGAAGAGAGGAGAGAAGAACAAGACAGAGGUCAGAGACAGAAAAAUGCUACAGUUGAAGCACAACACCAGAAAUGCAGAGGUUUUGUGGUAUCCACACAGAACUAAUUCUCUCUCACCAUCUUUGCACAGUAACACUAAAAUCAAUGGAGCUCAGCACUUCACUGUUCCGGGGCCUUCAAGCACAAAACACAGUUCUGUUCUUACUCUUAGUGCCAUCGAAACCAUCAGACUGCAACUUCAUUUCAGAUUUCUAUUCUCAUUCAAGCCUGUGUCACAUCUCAGCAUAGAAGUAUGAAUUGGCCAAGUUUGCUAGUACCCUACAAAGUCAAUAUAGUGGAAUCUUUCAGGAAUGGAAAACAAAAAAAUGAAAACAGGCAGGUCUUCCCUUUUUGUACCUGACAUGGGAACAUGCAUGGGUAUUUGCCUUUCUUGCCUAUGUCCUCUCUGCAAGAGGAACGACAGGAACCAGUGAUGUCUGCUUAAAAAGAACAUGGCUACUUAUUUAUAAUAGCCAGAAGCUGGAAAGAACCCAGAUGCCCCUCAACAGAGGAAUAGAUACAGAAAAUGUGGUACAUUUACACAAUGGAG